CCUUGCUGCUAGCAGGCCAGCUGGAGGCGAAGUAGUGCCGGAGAUGAGAGAUUUUGCCGGUGGCCCAGACAUAGAGAUGGAUGACACUGUUGUGAUAGCUGAACAGCACCAUCCAAGAACAGCAACAGAAAACAUUCGUGUUAUUCAAGAUAUGGAAUAUAUGGAAAGUAUGAUUGUAGAUGGUGAAAAGGCCAAUUGAAGAAGGGUUGCUCGCCUAAACCUCCAGAUUGCACGCACUGAAAGGAGGGCAAGGAGAAGAACUAAGUCAGCUGACAGAAAAGAGGCUUGCAGACUGGGCCCAGAACCAGAUGAGGAGGGAUGUAUCCAGGUGAAAUUUGUGUGUCCUGAAACGAAUUUAAUGAGGCGAUUCCGGGAAACGGAUACUGUCCUGAGCUUGUUCUAUUUUGUUGAGGGAACGAGCAAGGUUCAGGGCUGUGAACUUAUGUUAGCUGGCGAAAAGCUGAAGCGGGAUCAACUCUCCCUGAAGGAGGUUGGGAGAACAUCAAACACCACACUGCACAUAAAAGAUGAUGAUGAUCUCCAAUUGUCUUCACAUGUCAUUGUUCUUAUUCUAGGAUGUGGAACCUUUGGAUGAGGAGGAAAUGGACAAAAAUGAAGAGGAGAAUAAUCUACUGCUACUGGUUCAGUUUGCACAAAAACCUGUCUUGGAGAUCUACAAAGUGCAGCUAUGGAGAUAAAAACCUUCAUUCGAGUUGGUGUGGAGAAGAACAUGUUCAUCAGCCGUGAGUCGAUCUUAAACCUGAUGGACUAUUAUAGGAGUGAUGACCAACUGACUUUCCAUCGAAUCAAUGUGACGUUUGAAGGAGAAAACAUUGCAGAGGAUAUGGAUGGCUUGUCCCGAGAGAUGUUUACGUGUUUUCUGAAGGCUGCCCUCUCAAAGUAUUUUGAGGGGAGUGAUGCCAAGGUCCCAAAAGUGGACCAUGAUGUGAUGGACACUGAUGUUUUCUCCAUCAUUGGGAAAAUCAUCAGCCACGCUUACGUGGGGGUACUUCCCAAUGAGCCUAUGCAAGGCAUCAUUGUGUGCCCUGUUUGACCCGAAUGUGGACUUUGAGAUGAUCACAAGUUCUUUCUUAAAGCUCUUGCCUCCUCUUGAGAGAGACUUUAUGAAUACAACACUCAAAGAUCCGAUCACGCUCAAGGUGAAUGCAAACAGAUUGCGAUGCAUGUCAAUAUUUCCCAUCGGCACUAAAUAAUAUUUUUUCUUUUGCCAAAAGGAAGAGUAAAUGAUUUUCACCAAAAUGUGUUGCAACAAUGGUAAGAUAAUAGGAGAUGACAUGGUGUUUAACUCCGAUAUUCCCUUCAUAAUAUGGCUAAAAGUCGAAUAUUAGAGUAAAACACCUUGUACAAUCUGCUUAUAUCUAAUUACUCUUGUAAAUCAUUUUGGUUAUGAUCAUUUACUUUUCCUUUUGACCAUGUUGACAAACAAACAAAGUGAUUUUUUAGUGCAAAGGACACAUUUAAACAUGUUAAAUGAGUAAAAAUGGGAAGAUUAACUUAAGAGAAAUGCAUGUAUACAAUGUAUGGGAAAAUGUACAUGAAAUGGAAAAAUGCAGUUUUCUCAAAAUGUUACCAACAUAUUUUUUUAAUUCUUUCUGUUUUGAAACUAUAUGAUAUUGGCUACAAUGUGGCACAGGUUUCAUCUCAAUGCAAUUUAAAAAAAAUCUUACUGAAAGUUAAGGAACACUGUGUCACUAGACUCAAUAAUUCAUAUGGGAGGGGCAGCACUACCCACUAGUCCACCCGACUGAACAACCUCGCUAUUUUACUGGCUGUGAGUGGCCUUGGCUCGCUGCCAAUCUGUUGUUGGCGUCGCGAGACCAAACGCAGGAAUACUGGUGCAGUUGUUCAGUUGGGUGGACAAGUGGUUACCCCCCC